AUGGGAAAUCUAACCUGCCCGGUGAGAAUAUAAUUUAACGGCUGCAGUAAUUUGACUGUACGAAGGUAGCGUAAUCAUUUGCUCUAUAAUUGAGGGCUAGUAUGAAUGGUUUGACAAGAGGGUUAUUGUCUCUUUUUUAUUUAUUAUAAUUUUACUUUUAAGUGAGGAGGCUUAAUUUUUAUUAAAAGACAAGAAGACCCUAUCGAGCUUUUAUUAUUAAGUUAUAAUUUUUAUAUAUUUAUAUAUUUAUAGAUUAGUUUGUAAAUUUAAUUGGGGCGAUGGGAGAACAAAUGAAGCUUCUCUUUAUAAUUAUAUUUUAAUAAGGAUCCAGUAAAUGUUGCUGAUUAAAAGAAUAAGUUACCGUAGGGAUAACAGCAUAAUAUUUUUGGAGAGUUCAUAUCUAUAGAAGUGUUUAUGACCUCGAUGUUGGAUCAAAAUAUCCUUAUAGUUUAGGUGGAGGAGCCAGAGAGGGUAGGUCUGUUCGACCUUUAAAAUUUUA
rnacentral:rRNA from 1 species